ACCGAGAUGGUGGAAUGGCAGACACGUGAGACUCAAAAUCUCAAAUUGCAUUGUGCAAUGUGCGGGUUCAAGUCCCGCUCUCGGUA
rnacentral:tRNA from 1 species